AUUGAAACACCAGUUCCCACAUGAUCACCAAAGUUAAGCAAUAUUGAGUCUGGUCAGUACCUCGAUGGUUGAUCACUUGGGAUACCACAUGCUGUAAG